rnacentral:lncRNA from 1 species
GAAACAGGGUCUCUUGUACCCCUGGCUGUCCUUGAACUUAAUGAUGAUUCUCUAUAAGUGCUAGGCUUAUAGGCAUAAUCCACUACAUUUAGGUGUCUGCAGUUUUUAUUAAGACAAUUCGAAACAGACAGACAUUUCUCCUUACUGAAGCCUUUAGCAGGCACCAUGAAUGAUCUCCCUUAAGUUCUUCUGGCUAGUCCCUAUCCAUACUCACUAUCCACAGUGCAUGAAAAUAAAAAGACAUAAUCAUUCUACCUUCAUUAUUUGGAUUAACUUUCCCACAGGUCAUCCCCAGUGGUACCACUACCUUUCCAGUUUCUCAAGUCAUGGUUGUAUCACUCUUAUAAUUCAUCACCAAAUUACUGACAGUACUAUUUCCAUUAUAUAGCUUUCUUUUUAAAAGUUGUUUUUAAUUUAAUUUUUAUUUUAUGUGUAUGGAUUUUUUUCCCCCUACAUGCAUGUAUGUGUACCACAUGUGUGCCUGGUGCUUGCAGGGGCCAGAAGAGGGCGUCAGAUUGCCAUUGUGAGCUGCCAUGCAGGUUCUGGGAAUCUAACUCAAGUCCUCUGGAAGAUCAGCUAGUGCUGCCAGCUGUCCAGUCCCAUAAUAUAAGUCCUGUAAUGAUACUUCUUUCCUCCUGUCCCCAUCACCCCUAGUGCCAUUCUCAUACUCAGUGGAACAUUGGUCUCCUAUUUCUAUUCAUAUCUGCCUCUAUCCCACCUUGUCCAGAACAUAAGAGUCACCUCUUUCCUGAUAAGAACAUUUUAAGUUUCCCAUAACACCCUGUAGAGAAACCUGACCCCUUCUGCCUGUCUUGACACUUGCUUUCUUCAGCAACCUUCAUUCUUCUUCAGUUUCUUGAAAAUGCUUAUUCUUCCAACAGUGACUAGACUAGCCUUUUCUCAUCCCUUAUGAUGUUUGUGGAAUGAAUGAGUACCAGAAGAUAAGCAGAAUAGAAAAUGGAAUAAGAAGAAAAAGUGUUCUUGGUGUGCAUCUGUAAAGUUCUUAAAAUAGUAGAAGUGUGUGUGUAUGCAGAAUGCUAGUUUGAUUAUAGCAUGGGCAGAGCUUCUUAAACAGUACAUCUAGGAGUCUGCUAUCCUGUUGGUGAAUGUGUAAAAUGAUGUAACCAUUUUGGAAAACGUAAGAAAUUCUUAGAAAGUUGAACAUGUAUAUCUUGUGACCUGCAGUUUCACUUUUAGGUAUUUAUUCAGAAGAAACAAAAUUUUCUGCAACUAAGCUAUAUGCGAGAAUGCUUAUAGCAGUUAUUCUUAUAAUAAUCAGAUCCUGGAAAUGGUCCAGAUGUCUGUCCAUGGGCAAGAUAAAAUAGUAUAUACAUUUAAUGGAAGGUUGCUCACAAUAAAAAGGAACAGACCACUGGUACUGUGAUACUGUAAUAAAGAUGAGGUCUUACAAAUACGCUGAAAGUUAAAAAAUGGAUCAUCUUAUUUGUAAGCCAAAAUAACCCAUGAUAUUAGGAAUUGGAUUGAUAAUACUUUUUGUUUUGUUCAUAGGCAGGUCUCAUGUAGCCUAUGCUGGCCUCAAACUUGUUAUGUGGCCGACUUCUGAUCUUUUUGCUACGACCUCCCAAAUGAUUGUUUUACAAGUCUUUGCUACAAUGUUUGGCUUUGACACUUCCUUGCCCACUACUUUGGGUGGAUGAGGAUUGAGUAGGAGGGGGAUAUAAGUUUCUAGAGUAGUGGUUCUCAACCUUCCUAAUGCAUGUAAUGUUUCCAUGUUGUGGUGACCCCCAACCAUAAUGUUAUUUUCAUUUCUACUACAUAACUUAUUUUGCUACUGUUAUGAUAUGUAGGAUGUCUGAUACACUGCCCUCAUAGUUUGAGAACUUCUAUUCUAAAUAUCUAUAUCUCAAGAUUAGAUCUUGUGCUUAUAAGUAAUUUUAUUAUGAGGAAAUUCUAUCUGAAAACAAUUUAGGAAUAAAAUUUAAGACUCUAGGCUGGGUGGUGGUUGGUAGUGACAGCAGUGGUGGCUGUACACUCCUUUUAUCCCAGCACUAGGAGGCAGGGGCAGGUAGAUCUCUGUGAGUUUGAGGCCAGUGAGUUCCAGGUCCAUCAAGGCUACAUAGUGCUACCCACCCUCAAAACUAAAACAUAAAACAGGCACUAUAGUGUUCACACUUGUAAUCUUACUGCUGAGGAGACAGAGGAUACCUGGAGCUUGCUAGCCAGCCAAUUCAACUGAAUCAACGAGUCCAGUGAGAGAUCCUGUCUCAAAAAAUAAUGUAGAGAACCAUUGAAGAAAACACCUAGUGUUAUUCUCUGGCCUCUGGGCACCCACAUGUACACAAGCACCAAAAGGAAAGCAUGAGUUGGAGUCUGGAAAGAUGGCUCAGUUGGUAGAACACUGCUGCAUAAUGUGAGGACCUGAGUUUUGAAUGCCCAAAAGCUUGCUUGCUGGCCAGUUAGUUCCAUACCAGAGACUCUGCCUCAAGCAGGUUAGCCUCUGAUUCUCAUAUGCCCCCUGCACAAAUGUACAUGAAACUACACAAUCACACACACACACACACACACACACACACACACACACACACACACACAAGCUGAGUGUUUUUAAUCCUAGCACUUGAGAGGCAGAGGCAGGUAAUUACUUCUGGUAAUUGUAGAUCAGCCUGGUCUACAUAGUGAAUUCUAGGACAACCAGGCUCAUGGAGAAAGACCCUGUCUCAAACCAAACCAAAAUAAAACCACCAGAGUGAGAUGGGAAGCACUUUUACGCUUGAUGGCAGGGCUGGGGUUUGGGGGUGAAGUUCACUCUUUCUCCGGUCCUAGCAAAGCAACUCUGUUAUCUCUUGGAUAUCUAUCUACCUAAAACUUUUGUUUACAGGAAAAAUAAAAAAAAUAUUUCCAAACACCACUUUACAUGGCUCUCAGGCUAGUCAGAGCCAUUUUGCAUUAUUUUUAUUUUAGCUUUGGCUUCUGUCUUGUUCUGUUCAGUGCUUUAACAGUGAAAGUACUGUUUUGCCCACAAGCUAUUGCUCUGUUGUGGCCUAUCCUCAACCUCUGUCUCUGUCUGUGUCAGUGUAGGUCAGAGGUUAUGUAAUACACAACAUGUUUAUUUCUCCAAGUUUGUCUGUUGGCCAAGAUACUGUGUUAAUAAGCUUUUUGACUUUAUGUCUUUUCACAUAGGUAUUAAUGUUGAAUUUAAAUUAAUUGAAGAAAAUGUACAGGGUGUUUCUGUGACUAACUAAAAUUAAGAGUAGGGAAAACUUCAGAGGAAGAAAUAACGGCCUGAUAGGAACAAGAUGAUGAAAAUCUUGGUUCUAGGGUAUAUUGAAGAGUUUCUUAGGGUCUUAAUGCUGUGAACAGACAUCAUGACCAAGGCAACUCUUAUAAAAAGAACAUUUAAUUGGGGCUGGCUUACAGGGUUCAGAGAGUCAGUCCAUUAUUAUCAAGGUGAGAACAUGGCAGCAUCCAGGCAGGCGUGGUGCAGGUGGAGCUGAGAGUUCUAUGUCUUCAUCUGAAGGCUGGCUCCCUUGUGGUUAGGAGGAGGAUCUCCUUGCCCACCCGCACAGUUGACACAAUUUCUCCAACAAGGCCUCACUUAAUCCAACAAGGCCAUAUCUCCCAUUAGUGCCACUCCUUCAGCCAAGCAUAUUCAAAUCACCACAAAAAACAUGGCCAACUGUUCCUCUGAAAAACAACUGCAGAGAGGCCCAGAAGGAGUAUUGGUAGUUUAGAUGAAGAAGCUGAAGAACUCUGUGCUCUGUGGAGAAAGCUGGGAAUUUCUGGAGGAUUUUGGAACAGGUGUACUCUCAUUUGUGUUGAAUAAUUAUCCCACUGAGGGCAGUUUGGAAACUAUGUUUUUUUUUUUUUAAAGAUUUAUUUAUGAAUAUGAAUGCUCUGUCUGCAUGUAUGCCUGCAUGCCAGAGGAUCAUCAGUUCCCAUUAAAGAUGGUUUUGAGCCACCAUGUGGUUGCUGGGACUUGAACUCAGGACUUUUUGGAAGAGCAGCCAGUGCUCUUAAUUCUGAGUCGUCUCUCCAGCCCCAGGAGAUUAUAUUCUUAAGAGCAGGAUGAUUCCUACAAACUCUUGGACUAGCACCAAAGCCAACAGUUUAUGCUACUUGCACAUGUGUCAGCAGACAAUGAAAAAGUGCAUGUUGUAUUGAAUUCAGUGCUAACCCUACCCAAUGAGUUUAAACCUGACAAAGGGCCUGAGGGUGCAGCUCUGUGGUAAAGUGUUUGCUUAACAUGCACAAGGCCCCAAGUUCCAUCUCCAGCAUUGCAAAAACACAUAUAAUGGCAAUAGAGUUUCAUUUUUUUUGAUUGAAAAGGAUUUUGUCGAAGUGGAAUUGAGUUUUAGUAUAUUCCAUAGGAGAAAUUUGAGUUGGGAGUGAAAGACAUUAUAACUGGUAUCAUUUAUUAAGUGUUUCU